AGUGUUGUGCUCAAUCUCGUCUGUAGCGCGUACGAGGUAACAACCAUGAACUCCGCGGAAGGAACCAACCUGGUGGCCACCUACUGCAUCCUGCUGCUGCUGCUGGUGUCACUAUGGCUCAUGUAUUCUGCAUUCUAAGGACAAAAUAAGCUGUCCAAAAACAACUUAAACUUGAGACCAAUCCAAGAUGGCGGUCAACAAACGCUAUAAUCUUAAAUUUAGGAAACCGUAAUCUUAGUAAUAAGUUAAUCGUAAGUUAAGCAAUGUACACCCAAGCAUUUAAGUAACUUAAGACCACGGAACAAGACUAAGGGAGGUCGCACAGAAUGACAAACUCGAAACACCAGAGAGUGUGAACAGUGCUGGGCAUUCCAAUAUAAAUAAUGUCUAAAGUAAAUUAUAUCAAAGUGAAAGACAGCAUAUUAGAUGGCAAAUAUUAACUAUCAGAGCAAUGUUACUGACUUAGCUAAUUAUUGUUGAUGUUCGGUACAAAUCAUCUUGUUACGGAUUUUAUCGUUGUUAUGUUAUGAACUAAGAGAGUUUUUGUAAUAAAGGCUUUUUUAGAA